rnacentral:rRNA from 1 species
AACUUUCAGCAACGGAUCUCUUGGCUCUCGCAUCGAUGAAGAACGCAGCGAAAUGCGAUAAGUAAUGUGAAUUGCAGAAUUCAGUGAAUCAUCGAAUCUUUGAACGCACCUUGCGCUCCCU